GACGAACGCUGGCGGCGUGCUUAACACAUGCAAGUCGAACGAAGAGCGAUGGAAGCUUGCUUCUGUCAAUCUUAGUGGCGAACGGGUGAGGAACGCGGAAUGAACCUGCCCUUCAGAGUGGGGUAACAGUUGGAAACGACUGCUAAUACCGCAUACGAUCUAAUCUCGGCAUCGAGGGUAGAUGGAAGGUGGCCUCUACAUGGAGGCUAUCACUGGAGGCGGGGCUUGCGGCUGAUUAGCUAGUUGGAGGGGUAACGGCCAACCAAGGCGAUGAUCAGCAGCCGGUCUGAGAGGAUGAACGGCCACAGUGGGACUGAGACACGGCCCAGACUCCUACGGAAGGCAGCAGUGGGGAAUCUUCCGCAAUGGACGAGAGUCUGACGGAGCAACGCCGCGUGAGUGAUGACGGCCUUCGGGCUGUAAAGCUCUGUUAAUCGGGACGAAAGGCCUUCUUGCGAAUAGGGAGAAGGAUUGACGGUACCGGAAUAGAAAGCCACGGCUAACUACGUG
rnacentral:rRNA from 1 species